rnacentral:rRNA from 1 species
GGGUGCGUAACGCGUAUAGAACCUACCUUUUACAGAGGAAUAGCCUUUAGAAAUGAAGAUUAAUGCCUCAUAGUAUUGUAGACUGGCAUCAGUUUAUAAUUAAAGAUUUAUCGGUAAAAGAUGGCUAUGCGUCCUAUUAGUUAGUUGGUAAGGUAACGGCUUACCAAGACAGCGAUAGGUAGGGGUCCUGAGAGGGAGAUCCCCCACACUGGUACUGAGACACGGACCAGACUCCUACGGGAGGCAGCAGUGAGGAAUAUUGGACAAUGGAGGAGACUCUGAUCCAGCCAUGCCGCGUGUAGGAAGAAUGCCCUAUGGGUUGUAAACUACUUUUAUACAGGAAGAAACACUGGUAUGUAUACCAGCUUGACGGUACUGUAAGAAUAAGGACCGGC